UGGUGACUGGCUUAGUAGUAAAGAAUCUGCCUGCAAUGCAGGAGACCAAGGUUCGAUCCCUGGGUCAGGAA
rnacentral:tRNA from 1 species